AUUGAACGCUGGCGGCAUGCUUUACACAUGCAAGUCGAACGGCAGCGCGGGCUUCGGCCUGGCGGCGAGUGGCGAACGGGUGAGUAAUACAUCGGAACGUGCCCAGUAGUGGGGGAUAGCUCGGCGAAAGCCGGAUUAAUACCGCAUACGACCUGAGGGUGAAAGCGGGGGAUCUUCGGACCUCGCGCUAUUUGAGCGGCCGAUGGCAGAUUAGCUAGUUGGUGGGGUAAAGGCCUACCAAGGCGACGAUCUGUAGCUGGUCUGAGAGGACGACCAGCCACACUGGGACUGAGACACGGCCCAGACUCCUACGGGAGGCAGCAGUGGGGAAUUUUGGACAAUGGGCGAAAGCCUGAUCCAGCAAUGCCGCGUGUGUGAUGAAGGCCUUCGGGUUGUAAAGCACUUUUGGCGGGAACGAAAAGGACUGUGCCAAUACCACGGCUCGAUGACGGUACCCGCAGAAUAAGCACCGGCUAACUACGUG
rnacentral:rRNA from 1 species